rnacentral:rRNA from 1 species
AUUGAACGCUGGCGGCAGGCCUAACACAUGCAAGUCGAGCGGAUGAAGGGAGCUUGCUCCUGGAUUCAGCGGCGGACGGGUGAGUAAUGCCUAGGAAUCUGCCUGGUAGUGGGGGAUAACGUCCGGAAACGGGCGCUAAUACCGCAUACGUCCUGAGGGAGAAAGGGGGGGAUCUUCGGACCUCACGCUAUCAGAUGAGCCUAGGUCGGAUUAGCUAGUUGGUGGGGUAAAGGCCUACCAAGGCGACGAUCCGUAACUGGUCUGAGAGGAUGAUCAGUCACACUGGAACUGAGACACGGUCCAGACUCCUACGGGAGGCAGCAGUGGGGAAUAUUGGACAAUGGGCGAAAGCCUGAUCCAGCCAUGCCGCGUGUGUGAAGAAGGUCUUCGGAUUGUAAAGCACUUUAAGUUGGGAGGAAGGGCAGUAAGUUAAUACCUUGAUGUUUUGACGUUACCAACAGAAUAAGCACCGGCUAACUUCGUG